AUGUCCUGCCUCCACCUCCUCCGCCGUCGCACCUCCUCCUUCACUCCCACCUCGCCGCCCUCACGCUCCUGGUCUCCGCACGCCGCCUUUGCCGCUGCCACAGAGCGCGUCCGCGCCGGGACGCUCACCCCACAAGACGCACACCACCUGUUCGACCAAUUGCUGCGGCAGUCCACUCCGGUCCCCGGGCAAGCCCUGAACGGCUUCCUCGCCGGUCUUGCCCGUGCGCGAGACACCGACGCCUGCAGAGACGGCCCCUCCCUUGCCCUCACGCUCUUCAACCGCGUAUGCCGAGAAGAAGCCGGCCGGCGGGUGGCGCCGCCCACAAUCUACACCUACGGCAUCCUGAUGAACUGCUGCUGCCACGUGCGUCGUCCAGACCUAGGGCUUGCCUAUUUCGGCCGCCUCCUAAGGACCGGCCUCAAUACAAAUGAGGUCGUCGCCAGCACCCUCCUCAAGUGCCUCUGCUGUGCAAAACGGGCAGAUGAAGCUGUGAACGUGCUGCUUCAUAGGACGUCCGUCCUCGGCUGUGUGCCUAAUUCCUUCUCAUACAACAUAGUUCUAAAGAGUUUAUGUGACGACAGCAGGAGCCAGCAAGCACUCGGCCUGCUCCAGGUGAUGGCAAAGGGAGAUGAUUGCUCCCCCGGCGUUCUGUCAUAUAGAACGCUCAUCCACGGCUUCUUUAAGGAAGGCGAAGUAGGCAAGGCAUGCAAUCUAUUCCAUGAAAUGAUGCGGCAAGGGGUUGUGCCUGAUGUGGUGACGUAUAGCUCGAUUAUUGAUGCACUGUGCAAGGCUGGAGCAAUGGACAAGGCAGAGUUGUUCCUUCGGCAGAUGGUUGAUAACAGUGUUCGACCGGAUACGGUGACAUAUACUAGCAUGAUCCAUGGAUAUUCCACUUUGGGCCGGUGGAAAGAGGCGACUAAAAUGUUCAGAGAAAUGACAAGCAGGGGCCUUAUACCAAAUAUUGUCACUUGGAACUCAUUCAUGGCCUCCCUUUGCAAGCAUGGAAAAAGCAAAGAAGCUGCAGAAAUUUUCUUUUCCAUGGCUGCAAGGGGCCACAAGCCUGAUAUCAUCUCCUACACUAUUCUUCUUCAUGGGUAUGCCAAUGAAGGAAGCUUUGCUGAUAUGAUGAAUCUCUUUAAUUCAAUGGUAGGCGACGGUAUUGUAGCCAACUGCCAAGUUUUCAACAUAUUAAUUGAUGCAUAUGCUAAACAAGGAAUGAUGGAUGAAGCUAUGAUCAUACUUAAUAAAAUGCGGGGACAAGGACUGAGUCCGGAUGUAUUCACCUAUUCAACUCUAGUAUCUGCACUUUGCAAAAUGGGUAGACUGGCUGAUGCUAUGGGUAAGUUCAGUCAGAUGAUUGGUAGGGGAGUACAACCGAACACAGUUGUUUACCACUCCCUAGUUCAGGGCUUAUGUACACAUGGUGUUUUGGUAAAAGCAAAGGAGUUGGUUAAUGAAAUGAUGAAUAAAGGUAUGCUUCGUCCAAACAUUGCAUUCUUCAAUUCAAUAAUGGACAACCUAUGCAAUGAAGGAAGGGUUGUGGAUGCACACCAUAUCUUUGACUUGGUUACAGACAUAGGUGAGAAACCUGAUGUCAUUACAUUUACUACGCUAAUUGACGGAUAUUGCUUAGUCGGUGAGAUGGAGAAAGCAUGCGGAGUACUUGAUGCCAUGGUAUCAGCUGGCAUUGAGCCCGAUGUCAUUACGUAUAACACACUUGUCAGUGGAUACUGUAAAAGUGGAAGGAUUGAUGAUGGGUUGAAUCUGUUCAGAGAAAUGUCCCAUAUGGAAGUUAAACCUACAACUGUUACAUAUAACAUCAUACUGGAUGGAUUAUUUCAUGCUGGGAGAACAGUUGCUGCAAAGAAAAUGCUCCAUGAGAUGAUCGGAAGUGGAACACCUGUGAGCAUGCAUACAUACGACAUAUUUAUUAGAGGACUUUGUAGAAAUGAUUGCACCAAUGAAGCAAUCGCCCUUUUCCAAAAAUUAGGUGCACUGAAUGUGAAGUUCGAUAUUGCAAUACUCAAUUCCAUGAUUAAUGCAAUGUACAAGGUUCAGAGAAGAGAAGAAGCUAACAAGUUGUUUGCUGCUAUAUCAACCACUGGGUUGGUACCUAAUGCUUCCACGUAUGGAAUCAUGAUAAGAAAUCUUCUAAAAGAGGGAUCAGUGGAAGAAGCUGAAGAUAUGUUUUCAUCAAUGGAGAAGAGUGAUUGUGCUCUCAGCUCUCGUCUUAUAAAUGAUAUCAUUAGAAUGUUAUUGGAAAAGGGGGAGAUAGUCAAGGCCGGAGAAUACAUGUCUAAAGUUGAUGGGAAGAGCAUCUCGCUUGAAGCUUCAACUAGUUCGUUGUUGUUGUCUCUCUUUUCAGGGAAAGGGAAAUAUCGGGAACAAAUACAAUUGCUCCCUGCAAAGUACCAAUUUUUCGAUGGAACCAUUUGA
rnacentral:rRNA from 1 species